GGCCGAAUAGUUUAAGGAGAAUGGUGGUUUUGUAAUCCGCAGGUACUCAUGUGAGUUUUGGCCA
rnacentral:tRNA from 3 species